rnacentral:rRNA from 1 species
CAGUCGCCGCGGGAAUACGUAGGUGGCAAGCGUUGUCCGGAAUUAUUGGGCGUAAAGGGCUCGCAGGCGGUUUCUUAAGUCUGAUGUGAGAGCCCCCGGCUCAACCGGGGAGGGUCAUUGGAAACUGGGAAACUUGAGUGCAGAAGAGGAGAGUGGAAUUCCACGUGUAGCGGUGAAAUGCGUAGAGAUGUGGAGGAACACCAGUGGCGAAGGCGACUCUCUGGUCUGUAACUGACGCUGAGGAGCGAAAGCGUGGGGAGCGAACAGGAUUAGAUACCCCCGUAGUCCCUGUCUCUUAUAC